GAUUUCGUUAAUGGUCUAAUGUUAAUUAGGGUUUUAAUCGACGAUUUGACGAUCGAUUAUUGUAUGUUUUGAUUCGUAGGGUUUUAAUCGACGAUUUGAUGUUGUUUCGUUCUUUUUUGUUAUUUCAUUCGUCUGAUUUCGUUAAAGGUCUAAUGUUAGUUAGGGUUUAUUCAUUUGUAUUCUUUGAUUUUCUUUUAUAAUCGACUGAUACUUCCGAUUUCGUAACUGAUUGAAUGUUAUUUAUGUCUUUUAAUCAAUGGUUAUAGUGUGGUUCAACUAUUAGGAUUUUUUUUUCAAAGUUGUUCAUGAUUAUGUUGUUUUCUUUUCUGAUUACAAACCCUAAAUCCAUUGUUCUUUAUUGAAGCUUGAAGAUCUGCUGUAUUUUCCAAUUGAAGACUUUGAUAGAUGGUGGUGUCAUGGUCUUCUUGCUGGUGUGGGCUCUGACCUGGCCUUUUGGAGUUAGUUCCCGAUGGUGCCAUAGAUGAUUGUAUCAUAACUGAUCGGGUUUGAUCUAAAUGGGUUUUUAACCAACAUUUUCAUUUUCUUAUGUUUACUUAUGAUUAGAUUGGAUGUCCUUCUUUUUACGAUUAUAAAAAUUCAGACAAAUUAUAUGUUUUUUUAGAUGCCAUCUCUUGAACAUUAACAACGAUUAGGUCAAGGAAUUCAUCUCGGACUAAACAGUGUUUUUAGUGUGGUGGAAUAACAUAUGUUAUAGUAUCCGAUACAGUUAGAUUUUGAUCCCUUUUUUGCAGGUAUAGCAGAGAGUGAGUACAGUACGGUUGAGUGGGUCAGGAAAGUUUACACUUUGAUGAGUUAUUUUUAGAGAAUCUGACUUCAGGUUUCUAAGCUCAUUGAGCGAGUCGAAGCAGCAUUUAUAAAGCAUUUUUGCAACGAAACUGGCAUCAAUGGAAUGUUGAUAUCAUCUGAUUUCGGUUUUUGACCUAAAUGAUGGAGGAAUUCCGAUUUUUCUGUCAAGUCCUUUUCGAUGUAAUCUGAUAAUAAUAACGGUGUCGAGGUUGUGACUGAAUCACCACCGCAAAAGGAUAGUCAGGAGGUAAGAAAUGGCGUUUUUUCAUGAUCUUAGCAAUAUUGAGUUUUUAUGAUUCUCAACUUUCAUUUUAUAUAGUUUUUGCUUUACAUGGUAGAAUCAAAGUUUAAUUGGUGUUGGAAAAAUCGAUUAUCUCUUCAACACCAACUAUUUUUGACGUAGUAAUUAAAAUAUCUGAUUUCGCUGCUUAUUAUUCUCAAAAAGCUUCUAACUGGAUCGUGGAAGAUUGUUGUCCUAAUUACAUGUUGAAGGUUUGCUAACGAAGGAAUGAGUUCCACUAUUAGCUAGAAUUUCAAUUCUGGUGAGGUUGUAUAUCUUUUUCUGCACAUUCGGGUUAUGGAAUUGUCACUCUUUUGGUCACUAUUCUGGCAAACGAAUGUUGUUCCUUGCCUCUUGCAAUUUAACAUAAGCUUUAUUAAUCAACAUAAGUUGUGUUUGUUGUUUGGUAUGAAGAUUUAUGAUAUAUAUGUUUUUUUUUGGUUUUAUAGGUCCGUAGGGAUAAACAUAAGCAGCCUUGGAUUUGGAAGGAUGUUAGUCAUGUCAAGGGGUGAGUUUUGUGCUUAAAGACGCCACCUCGCAUAUUGUGAACGAUCUUCCAUAAAAGCUUCAAGGUUUUGUCCACGAAAUCAAUGAAAGGCAAAUAUAAAUAACACAAAGGCUUAAUAAGUUGGAAGAGAACUCAGAGUAAUCAAAGUGAAAUUUCGAACCUCAUUCAUGAUGUUGCAACUAUAUUAAACUACGGAUACAAAGAGUUUCUUUGGCUUGGCCGUGGCUAGCUGAAGAGUAAAAGAAAUAGAAAUGAUGAUUGCUACUUGUACAAAACUAAAAAAAUGUAAGUCAUAGUCAUGUUACUCUUUGAUUGCCAUUUGUAAACUCAGUUUUUCUUUCAUUGCGAAAGCAGCUGGUGUACACUUUCAUGGAGUGGUUCUCAU